ACACGUAGGGGGCAAGCGUUAUCCGGAUUUACUGGGUGUAAAGGGAGCGUAGACGGUGUGACAAGUCUGAUGUGAAAACCCGGGGCUCAACUCCGGGAUUGCAUUGGAAACUGCCAUACUUGAGUGCAGGAGAGGUAAGCGGAAUUCCUAGUGUAGCGGUGAAAUGCGUAGAUAUUAGGAGGAACACCGGCGGCGAAGGCGGCUUACUGGACUGUAACUGACGUUGAGGCUCGAAAGCGUGGGGAGCAAACAGGAUUAGAUACCCUGGUAGUCCACGCGGUAAACGAUGAAUACUAGGUGUAGGGGGUAUCGACUCCCUCUGUGCCGCAGUUAACACAAUAAGUAUUCCGCCUGGGGAGUACGGCCGCAAGGUUGGAACUCAAAUGAAUUGACGGGG
rnacentral:rRNA from 1 species